AUUGAACGCUGGCGGCAGGCCUAACACAUGCAAGUCGAGCGGAUGAAGAGAGCUUGCUCUCUGAUUCAGCGGCGGACGGGUGAGUAAUGCAUAGGAAUCUGCCUGGUAGAGGGGGACAACGUUUCGACAGGAACGCUAAUACCGCAUACGUCCGACCGGAGAACGUGGGGGAUCUUCGUACCUCCAGCUACUAGAUGAGCAUAGGUACGAUUAGCUAGGUGGUGAGGUAAAGGCUCACCAAGGCGACGAUCGUUAACUGGUCUGAGAGGAUGAUCAGUCACACUGGAACGGAGACACGGGCCAGACUCCUACGGGAGGCAGCAGUGGGGAAUAUUGGGCAAUGGGCGAAAGCCUGAUCCAGCCAUGCCGCGUGUGUGAUGAAGGUCUGCGGAUUGUAAUGCACUUUAAGUUGGGAGGAAGGGCAGUAAGUUAAUACCUGGCUGUUUUGGCGUUACCGACAGAAUAAGCACCGGCUAACUUCGUGCCAGCAGCCGCCAUAAAAC
rnacentral:rRNA from 1 species